AGCGAACGCUGGCGGCAGGCCUAACACAUGCAAGUCGAACGAACUCUUCGGAGUUAGUGGCGGACGGGUGAGUAACACGUGGGAACGUGCCUUUUGGUUCGGAAUAACUCAGGGAAACUUGUGCUAAUACCGAAUGUGCCCUUCGGGGGAAAGAUUUAUCGCCAUUAGAGCGGCCCGCGUCUGAUUAGCUAGUUGGUGAGGUAACGGCUCACCAAGGCGACGAUCAGUAGCUGGUAUGAGAGGAUGACCAGCCACACUGGGACUGAGACACGGCCGAGACUCCUACGGGAGGCAGCAGUGGGGAAUCUUGCGAAAUGGGGGAAAGCCUGACGGAGCCAUGACGCGUGAAUGAUGAAGGUCUUAGGAUUGUAAAAUUCUUUCACCGGGGACGAUAAUGACGGUACCCGGAGAAGAAGCCCCGGCUAACUUCGUG
rnacentral:rRNA from 1 species